AGUGAACGCUGGCGGUAGGCCUAACACAUGCAAGUCGAACGGCAGCACAGUAAGAGCUUGCUCUUACGGGUGGCGAGUGGCGGACGGGUGAGGAAUACAUCGGAAUCUACUUUUUCGUGGGGGAUAACGUAGGGAAACUUACGCUAAUACCGCAUACGACCUACGGGUGAAAGCAGGGGAUCUUCGGACCUUGCGCGAUUGAAUGAGCCGAUGUCGGAUUAGCUAGUUGGCUGGGUAAAGGCCCACCAAGGCGACGAUCCGUAGCUGGUCUGAGAGGAUGAUCAGCCACACUGGAACCGAGACACGGUCCAGACUCCUACGGGAGGCAGCAGUGGGGAAUAUUGGACAAUGGGCGCAAGCCUGAUCCAGCCAUACCGCGUGGGUGAAGAAGGCCUUCGGGUUGUAAAGCCCUUUUGUUGGGAAAGAAAAGCAGCAGGUUAAUACCCCGCUGUUCUGACGGUACCCAAAGAAUAAGCACCGGCUAACUUCGUG
rnacentral:rRNA from 1 species